UACGUAGGGUGCAAGCGUUGUCCGGAAUUAUUGGGCGUAAAGAGCUCGUAGGCGGUCUGUCGCGUCUGCUGUGAAAACCGGGGCUACCACCGGCUGCAGUGGAUACGGGCAGACUAGAGUUGGUAGGGGAGACUGGAAUUCCGUGGUGUAGCGGUGAAAUGCGCAGAUAUCAGGAGGAACACCGGUGGCGAAGGCGGGUCUCUGGGCCGAUACUGACGCUGAGGAGCGAAAGCGUGGGGAGCGAACAGG
rnacentral:rRNA from 1 species